AGAUUUUGGAGACGCGUUACGAGCUCGGGGAUCAUCAGCAUAAUCUAUCACAAUAUCGACCGUCUUUGCAAUGGCCGGAGAAUUGACUCGUCUUGAUAAGCAUCACAUAUCGGUGGAACAAAUGAAAAUGUCUGUAGAUCGGAUAUUGGAAUGCAAUAUCCGUAAUAUGCAUGGUCCUCCAUCACCGUUGGUAGAGAACUACCUGCGGGAAGUGGAUUUUUGGCACGUGACGACGGUAGGCUGGGGAUGCAAGGUGGACCCAAAACUAAUCAGUGCAUUGAUCAAGAGGUGGAGACCCGAGACGCAUACAUUCCAUCUUCCAUGUGGAGAGUGCACUAUCACUCUGGAAGAUGUCAGUCUGCAAUUGGGAUUGCCGGUGGACAGGUACCCAGUCACCGAGUCUGCCCAAUCUAGCGAUUGGGGAGUGGUGUGCUAGAGCUUUUGGGCUCUAUUCCGGAGUAAAUGGACGGAGGUAAGAUCGAGAUGGGCUAGUUACGUGACACAUUCCCUGAACCGGAUGAAGAUUCAACCGAAAUUGAAAGAAUCUGAUAUGCUCGGGCAUACAUUCUUCAAUUAAUUAGAGGUUAUCUGAUGCCCGACUUGUCACGGAGCCGCGUACAUCUAAAAUGGCCGCUGAAACUCGUUGAUUUUAGAGCAGCUGGUGAAUUGAGUUGGGGGUCUGCCAUCUUGGCUGCAGUCAUGGGCACGGUUUCGCUUUCCAUUUCUUCGUCCUCGAGUGGACCACCCAUAUACAUUCCCACUCAUAACGAGGUGGAACCAUCCGACAAGUCAUGCUCGAUUACCUACCUCUCUUGAAGAUAUACGGCUUCUAUUAGACCAACAGUCGGAAGCACAUUUUCAAUGUACACCAUACGAGGAUCCGGUAAUUCAGGAAGUAAUUUCGGAAGAGUUCUUACAAAAUCCGAACGCUUGGCACUUGAAAGUCGCGUUGAUCAACUAUGCGACCGUGGAGAUGCACCAGUCAGACAAUGUGUUACGGCAAUUUAGAUGUAGGCAACCGAUUCCCGUGGAACCUGAGGUGUUUGACGAUCACCACAAAAUUGACAUUCAGUAAUUGAAUACGGAUUGGCCGAGAUUCUGGUCUGAGUUCAUCGAAAUGUGGGAAGAUUGGUAUAUUUAUAUACCUAAUAGGGAACCGAUCAUCGUUCCGGAGUUAGCCUACGUACCAGAGUACAUACCAUGGUUUAGGAUCCAUGGAAAGCCGUAUUUACUAUAUCCAGAGGAAAGGCAGCGGCAAUUACGUAACCAAAGGGAACGACGUGGCCCUUUAAAUCCAAGAAGAAGGGACGAUGACGCAGGCCCAUCAACUAUGCCCAGAAAUUCGUCCAGCCCAUCAUCAGCGCCCAUAGAAUCACCAGGCCCAGCGGGAGCACAAACACAGUCACCCGACCCAGCAGUUCAACCGAUGAUA